rnacentral:rRNA from 1 species
UACGUAGGGUGCAAGCGUUAAUCGGAAUUACUGGGCGUAAAGCGUGCGCAGGCGGUUCUAUAAGACAGAUGUGAAAUCCCCGGGCUCAACCUGGGAACUGCAUUUGUGACUGUAGAGCUGGAGUACGGUAGAGGGGGAUGGAAUUCCGCGUGUAGCAGUGAAAUGCGUAGAUAUGCGGAGGAACACCGAUGGCGAAGGCAGCCCCCUGGGUCAAGACUGACGCUCAUGCACGAAAGCGUGGGGAGCAAACAGG